rnacentral:lncRNA from 1 species
AACAGUGAUGGAUUAAACUAAGUAUGAAUACAUUUUUAUACACUACUAGUAAUAAAUAGCUUAAUUACAUUUUUAUAAAAAAUUACAAGCCUUGAACUAAAUUAAGAAAUUUAGUUGCAUAGGCCGAAAUCAAAUUAAUUUUGAGUUUGCCUGUGAUCAACUAGCAAAAACUUUGCAAUGUUCUUGAAGCUGCCUAUCAUUUACAAAAGGCUAACCAACCAGUCGCUACACUUGUAAAUCUGAGCCUUGUGCCCAAGCACUCACAAACUCCUGCAUUACCAAAUGCCAACAAUACCAAACAAAGUGAUUUCAAAAGGGGAGGUCCUUACACAAAAAAACAAAUACUGUCAAACUUCUGAAACCUUAAACAUUUAUGGAAUUUUGGAACUUCAUGUAUACCUUGACUGUCAAAAGCUAAAAAAAGAAAUAAUUUUAACACUUGUUCCCUAUUUCAUUAAGGUUUGAGACAUUCAACACAUCUAAUGAUUUAAAUCAAACUUAAACUUGCAACCAAACAUGAAAGCAAAGAGCAUUCAGUAUACAUGAAAUGAGCAAAUAGUUGAAACCUCAAAGCCAUAUGACAUUAAAGUAACAACAUCAUUAUUAGAAAAACUAUCAGUACAUACCUUACUAGCAACAAAUAAAGAGAAGAAGAAGAUGAAUCUCUGAAUAAACUAGAAGAAACAGUAGCAAGAAUACAACAACAAAGAGUAACAGACAAUAGCUUAAAAACCUCAAACCCUAGAAAUCCCGAAACCCCCAAUGAUAGGAAAACAAACAGGAAACCAAGAUGAAUCCUAAGUCUCCAUUUCUGGUAUUUGAAUGGAAUUCCCUAUCCUUUGGGAAGAAAUUAGUAUAUAAGCAGAAAGAAAAAUCAAGAGUGAAUUCUUUCCUUUUUGUGAGUAAAUCUGUAGCGAUAUUAACGUCUGUGUGAGUGUGAGUGAGGUUCCUUUUUACAUAGUAUAAGAAAAAUGCAUAAGGAUAAGAAUAAUAGGGAAUAUUCUAUUCUAAAAUUCAAAGAUGCCCCAGCUAUAAAAAGGAUAGUCUAUCAUCUUUUUCAGCAGACCUGGCACAACUAUCCUCUUUACCAAUUUUCAGCAUAUUUCAACAACAAAAAAAGAGAUAGUUGUUCAAUACUAGAAACUUCUGAUAUUUUUUACCUAAAAAUUCAUCCAUUUUUACUUCCAAAUUAACCCCUUUAAGUUCUUUCUACUACCCUUUCACCCCUACAAUUUCCAAAUGUGUGUUAAGAACAUCACUGAGCAACUAAUUAAGGCAGGAAACAAUGUUAAACAAACCAAACAGAAAUAAUUUAUUAUUUAAACCUAAGUAAAUUACUAAGUUAACUAGGGUUGAUUAAGCUAAACUAGCAAUGCGACUAACUGGAUAGACAUGCAACUAAAUUAAAACUAAUCCCAUUUUAUCGUAAACACACAAUAAUGAGGAACAAAGCAAACAAAAUAAGAUAAAAUCAAAAACCUAAAAAUAGUAAAUAGAGACAAAGGGAAAAGAGCAAGAUACUAAUUUUGCUAAAAAUGAAUACACGACUAAGGUGAAUCGAUGAAAGCAUCGGAGCUUGGCUGGCCAAUAUGGACUUGGUCAGAAUCCGACAAGCCUUGAAGCGAUCCAAAACUGACGCUAAUCGAUUGUUCUUACUGAGAACAAUCGAUUGGCAUAAACUUUGGCUCAAAUCGAGCCUUUGAAAUCGUAAAAAUUAAAAAGAGGGACGGGUUAGGAUUUUGGUUUUCUUUUGGAAUUUCAGAUCUAAAAUUGGAGCAAAUGGGUAAGGAUUUUGAAGAAAUUGGUGGUAGAUAUGAGAUGAGGAGAUUAUGAUGCUUGUCUGGUGUGAAUUUGGGUAGGAUUGGAGGUGGUCCACCACUGUAAGGCAAUUUCGGGUGACGGAGGACGGAGGAGGAUCCCUAGGCGGCUAGGGUUACGAGGGGAAAUGGGGGCGGCUAGGGUUAGUUUCUGCGAGAGAAGAGAGAAUAAGGGGGAUGUU